rnacentral:rRNA from 1 species
GGUUAAGCGACUAAGCGUACACGGUGGAUGCCCUGGCAGUCAGAGGCGAUGAAGGACGUGCUAAUCUGCGAUAAGCGCCGGUAAGGUGAUAUGAACCGUUAUAACCGGCGAUWYCCGAAUGGGGAAACCCAGUGUGACUCGUCACACUAUCAUUAACUGAAUCCAUAGGUUAAUGAGGCGAACCGGGGGAACUGAAACAUCUAAGUACCCCGAGGAAAAGAAAUCAACCGAGAUUCCCCCAGUAGCGGCGAGCGAACGGGGAGGAGCCCAGAGCCUGAAUCAGCAUGUGUGUUAGUG